UACAGAGGUCCCGAGCGUUGUUCGGAUUCACUGGGCGUAAGGGGUGCGUAGGUGGCAUGGUAAGUUUGAUGUGAAAGCUCAGGGCUCAACCCUGAAAUGGCAUUGAAUACUACUGUGCUGGAGGUUUGGAGGGGGGACUGGAAUUCUUGGUGUAGCAGUGAAAUGCGUAGAUAUCAAGAGGAACACCAGUGGCGAAGGCGAGUCCCUGGACAACACCUGACACUGAGGCACGAAAGCUAGGGGAGCAAACAGG
rnacentral:rRNA from 1 species